ACGGCUCAGUAACACGUGGAUAACCUACCCUAAGGUGGGAGAUAACCCCGGGAAACUGGGGAUAAUACCCCAUAGUCUAUGGAAGCUGGAAUGCUCUGUAGUCAAAAGAUUUAUCGCCUUAGGAUGGGUCUGCGGCCGAUUAGGUAGUUGUUGGGGUAAAGGCCCAACAAGCCUUUGAUCGGUACGGGUUGUGGGAGCAAGAGCCCGGAGAUGGAUUCUGAGACACGAAUCCAGGCCCUACGGGGCGCAGCAGGCGCGAAAACUUUACAAUGCGGGAAACCGUGAUAAGGGAACUCCGAGUGCCCGUAAACGCGGGCUGUCCAUCUGCUUAAAAAACAGGUGAAGAAAGGGCCGGGCAAGACCGGUGCCAGCCGCCGCGGUAAUACCGGCGGCUCGAGUGGUGGCCACUAUUACUGGGCUUAAAGCGUCCGUAGCUUGGUUGUUAAGUCUCUUGGGAAAUCUGUCGGCUUAACCGACAGGCGUUUAAGGGAUACUGGCAACCUAGGGACCGGGAGAGGUGAGAGGUACUUCAGGGGUAGGAGUGAAAUCCUGUAAUCCUUGGGGGACCACCUGUGGCGUAGGCGUCUCACCAGAACGGCUCCGACAGUGAGGGACGAAAGCUGGGGGAGCAAACCGGAUUAGAUACCCGGGUAGUCCCAGCCGUAAACGAUGCGCGUUAGGUGUAUCGGUGACCACGAGUCACCGAGGUGCCGAAGGGAAACCGUGAAACGUGCCGCCUGGGAAGUACGGUCGCAAGGCUGACACUUAAAGGAAUUGGCGGGGGAGCAC
rnacentral:rRNA from 1 species